rnacentral:tRNA from 1 species
AUUUAUGAAGUUUAAUAACAUUUUAUUUUCAAUAAAAAAAAAGAAACUAUAAGUUUCUCAUAAAUA